rnacentral:rRNA from 1 species
GAUGAACGCUGGCGGCGUGCCUAAUACAUGCAAGUCGAGCGAAUGGAUUAAGAACUUGCUCUUAUGAAGUUAGCGGCGGACGGGUGAGUAACACGUGGGUAACCUGCCCAUAAGACUGGGAUAACUCCGGGAAACCGGGGCUAAUACCGGAUAACAUUUUGAACCGCAUGGUUCGAAAUUGAAAGGCGGCUUCGGCUGUCACUUAUGGAUGGACCCGCGUCGCAUUAGCUAGUUGGUGAGGUAACGGCUCACCAAGGCAAAGAUGCGUAGCCGACCUGAGAGGGUGAUCGGCCACACUGGGACUGAGACACGGCCCAGACUCCUACGGGAGGCAGCAGUAGGGAAUCUUCCGCAAUGGACGAAAGUCUGACGGAGCAACGCCGCGUGAGUGAUGAAGGCUUUCGGGUCGUAAAACUCUGUUGUUAGGGAAGAACAAGUGCUAGUUGAAUAAGCUGGCACCUUGACGGUACCUAACCAGAAAGCCACGGCUAACUACGUGCCAGCAGCCGCUGUAA